rnacentral:rRNA from 1 species
UACGAAGGGGGCUAGCGUUGCUCGGAAUCACUGGGCGUAAAGCGCACGUAGGCGGAUUGCUAAGUCAGGGGUGAAAUCCUGGAGCUCAACUCCAGAACUGCCUUUGAUACUGGCGACCUUGAGUCCGGGAGAGGUGAGUGGAACUGCGAGUGUAGAGGUGAAAUUCGUAGAUAUUAGGAAGAACACCGGUGGCGAAGGCGGCCCACUGGUCCGGUACUGACACUGAGGUGCGAAAGCGUGGGGAGCAAACAGG